rnacentral:lncRNA from 1 species
CUUUUUGCCUUUCCUAGGGCUGCUCCUCGCGGCAUAUCCCAGGCCAGGGGUCUAAUCAGAGCUGUAGCCGCUGGCCUACGCCAGAGCCACAGCUACGCAGGAUCCCAGCCGCGUCUGCGACCUACACCACAGCUCACGGCAACGCAGGAUCCCCAACCCACUGAGCAAGGCCGGGGAUCGAACCCUCAACCUCAUGGUUCCCAGUCGGAUGCGUUAACCACUGCGCCAUGACGGGGAUUCCUCAACAUGGGACCUUUAACCUGCUGAGCCACCAAAGAACUCCCUCCUUUUUUCUUAUUACAGUUUUUUCGGUUUGUUUGUUUGUUUUUCGUUUGCUUUUUAAGGCCACACCCGCGGCAUAUGGAGGUUCCCAGGCUAGGGGUUGAGUCAGAGCUGUAGCUGCUGGUCUACACCACAGCCACAGCAACGUCGGAUCCAAGCCACGUCUGCGACCUACACCACAGCUCACAGCAACGCCGGAUCCUUAACCCACUGAGCAAGGCCAGGGCUCGAACCCGCAACCUCAUGGUUCCUAGUCGGAUUCGUUAACCACUGAGGCACGGCAGGAACUCCUGCCCUCGCCAUUUGAGGGGAAGUGGCCGUGGUCUCUCUGAACAGCUGCCCCUUCCCUCUGUCCGUCCCCUGGGCUCCGGCUCAGGUCCGGAGACCGACCACUUGCUGUUCUUCCGCAGGACUUUUCCUCUUUGUGGUUCCGAAAAUGGGUCAUUUCUCUUGUCCUGUUUUCAAGGCGGUGAAGCCCUCCUCUGCAGCCCAUCUUUCGGGAGGCCUGUCGAGCGCAUUUUUCAUUUGGGUCCAGGGUUUUUUCAACACGAGGGUCUCCAUUUGUUUUCUUUCUGAAGUUUCCACUUCGCGGCCAGCAUCACCCCCCACUUCGCGGCCUUCUUGACACUUGGCUGGCGAAUCCUUUCAGGUACGUAGCGUGGCUGUUUAAACGGCUCAUCUGCUACCUUCAAAAUGUAAGUUUUCUAUACGUCUAGGUCCAUUAUCCUGAUUAUCGGUCGCGUUGUCCAGUUCUUGCUUGUCUGUUCAGGGGAUCGUGCCUGAGACGUGCAGAGACGACUCGUCCCAUCUUGGCCUGGAACGUGCCGCGUUUGCUCCAGGAGGCGUUGCAGUCACUGCCGGGUCCUCAGCACUGUGUGGACCUGUCUUCUCGGGCCCGGCCGCCAGCCAGAGCUGUGGCCGGUCCAGUUUUUCAGGAGCCGCCUGCAGGGUUUGCUGAGCCAGGUCGAGGAACGCAGACGCCCAGCAGCUCCGCCACGGUGCCGCUUCCUGCUCAGAUCAUAAGCUGCUCAGGACUCAGGGACCCCGCACUGAUCUGUGAUCCCUCGCCUGCUCCUCCCUGGGAUGGUUCUCAUUUCCAGCUGCUGCGGCAGCUCUGACCUUUAACCUCUGGCUGGAGCCCAAGGCCACAGCCUCUUCCCGCACCAGCACCUGUGCUGCUUUGUG